AGCACUUUAAGUUAAUUUAAACUUUCAACCUUCAAAGUUGAAAAUAAGAUUGUAUUCUUAAGUACUA
rnacentral:tRNA from 1 species